ACGCGAAAACUUUACAAUGCUGGCAACAGCGAUAAGGGAACCUCGAGUGCCAGGUUACAAAUCUGGCUGUCGAGAUGCCUAAAAAGCAUUUCAUAGCAAGGGCCGGGCAAGACCGGUGCCAGCCGCCGCGGUAACACCGGCGGCUCGAGUGGUAACCGUUAUUAUUGGGUCUAAAGGGUCUGUAGCUGGCCGGAUAAGUCUCUUGAGAAAUCUGGCAGCUUAACUGUCAGGCUUUCAGGAGAUACUGUCUGGCUCGAGGCCGGGAGAGGUGAGAGGUACUUCAGGGGUAGGGGUGAAAUCUUGUAAUCCUUGAAGGACCACCAGUGGCGAAGGCGUCUCACCAGAACGGGCCUGACGGCAAGGGACGAAAGCUAGGGGCACGAACC
rnacentral:rRNA from 1 species